CCUUUCCUUUAUCUCAUUAGGAGGACAUAUCCAAACUGCGCAGGAAGAUCGAGAAGGCCAAGAAACCUGCGGAGAACAUUCGAAAUGGAGAUGAGAUCCUGAAUGAAGAAAUAAACGAUUACAAGGCCCGGUUGACCUGUCCAUGCUGCAAUUCACGUGUAAAGGACGCCGUUUUGACAAAGUGCUUCCACGUUUUCUGUUUUGAGUGCGUGAAGACGCGCUACGACACCCGUCAGAGAAAGUGCCCAAAGUGCAAUGCCGCAUUUGGUGCCAACGAUUUCCAUCGCAUCUACAUCGGAUGAGAUUUAUGAUUCACGGUAUCUGGAUCCGUUUGGUCCAGUUGCUCAACAUUGUUUGGAGGGUGGAGCUUGUCCUGUAACGUUGGGCGAACAUCAACAGUUUUACAUUCCACUUGUUUUUUUUCUCUACAAAGACAUCCAAAAUUUUCAGUAGAUGUCCCAGCAGCGGUUUAGCAGAACUAACCUGGUCACAUUCCACAGGUUGUCCUAGCCAACAUUUCUCACAACAUUUCUGCUGCUUGCUUCCAGGAGUGUCCUGAAUGCUCGCUGACAUUUGU